AUUGAACGCUGGCGGCAUGCCUUACACAUGCAAGUCGAACGGUAACGGGCCUUCGGGUGCCGACGAGUGGCGAACGGGUGAGUAAUGUAUCGGAACGUACCUUUCAGUGGGGGAUAACGUAGCGAAAGUUACGCUAAUACCGCAUAUUCUGUGAGCAGGAAAGCAGGGGAACGCAAGACCCUGCGCUGAUUGAGCGGCCGAUAUCAGAUUAGCUAGUUGGUGAGGUAAAGGCUCACCAAGGCGACGAUCUGUAGCGGGUCUGAGAGGAUGAUCCGCCACACUGGAACUGAGACACGGUCCAGACUCCUACGGGAGGCAGCAGUGGGGAAUUUUGGACAAUGGGGGCAACCCUGAUCCAGCCAUGCCGCGUGAGUGAAGAAGGCCUUCGGGUUGUAAAGCUCUUUCGGCCGGGAAGAAAUCGUAUCAGCUAAUACCUGGUGCGGAUGACGGUACCGGCAUAAGAAGCACCGGCUAACUACGUGCCAGCCGCCGCUGUAACAC
rnacentral:rRNA from 1 species